rnacentral:lncRNA from 1 species
CAUAACUAGAGGCUCUAAAGAGCCUGUGUCGCUCACCUUGGUCUAUGUGAAUAUUAAACAAAGGAAGCAGAUGGAUUCAUGACAAAAUUGUGUUUUGGUGAUGGUGAUGCGUUUGUACAUCUUACUUUACUGAACAUUCUUGCUGCUUACAAUUAUCUCAAUAUAUAAUGAACUUGGCCCAGUAGUUUCAGUGGAAAAUGUAAGUAAAAAUUUACAAAUUUUAUGAAAAUUGUUAAAAGUUGACUAUAAAGGACAAUAACUCCUUAGGGGGUCAAUUGACCAUUUCGGUCAUGUUGACUUAAUUGUAAAACUUACUU